UGGCCCAAGGACAAGGAGAAUGAAAAGAAGCCUCGGGAGAAGAAGAAGCCCGAAGAGGAGAAGAAGACUGAUAAAGAUCUCCUUGACUGGCUUCAGGCCAUGUUUGGAUUUCAGAAAGAUAAUGUAUCCAACCAAAGGGAACAUCUCAUAUUGUUAUUAGCAAACGUACACAUAAGGCUGAUACCCAAGCCUGAACAACAGUCUAAGUUGGAUGAUAGGGCUUUGGGAAAAGACUUUCAGGGAGUAUCAGGAUUUCCAGGUUAACCAUGUGCAUGAAAUAACUGAAAAUAACCAGGCAAUGAUAGAACUAGAGGCCAAGAAGCACAGAUUGGAGAAGGAACUGAAAGACC